rnacentral:rRNA from 1 species
CCUACGUGAGGCAGCAGUAGGGAAUAUUGCUCAAUGGGGGAAACCCUGAACCAGCAACGCCGCGUGAAGGAUGAAGGUUUUCUGAUUGUAAACUCCUUUUGUUAGAGAAGAUAAUGACGGUAUCUAACCAAUAAGCACCGGCUAACUCCGUGCCAGCCGCCUCGGUAAUACGGAGGGUGCAAGCGUUACUCGGAAUCGCUGGGCGUAAAGAGCGGGUAGGCGGGAUAGCAAGUCAGAUGUGAAAUCCUAUGGCUUAACCAGAGAACUGCAUUUGAAACUGUUAUUCUAGAGUAUGGGAGAGGUAGGUGGAAUUCUGGGUGUAGGGGUAAAAUCCGUAGAGAUCAAGAGGAAUACUCAUUGCGAAGGCGACCUGCUAGAACAUAACUGACGCUGAUGCGCGAAAGCGUGGGGAGCAAACAGGAUUAGAUACCCGUGUAGUC